rnacentral:rRNA from 1 species
UACGUAGGGUGCUAGCGUUGUUCGGAAUCAUUGGGCGUAAAGCGCGUGUAGGCGGUUAGUUAAGUCGGGUGUGAAAUCCCGAGGCUCAACCUCGGGUCUGCAGUCGAUACGGGCGGACUUGAGUACUGCAGGGGAGACUGGAAUUCCUGGUGUAGCGGUGAAAUGCGCAGAUAUCAGGAGGAACACCGGUGGCGAAGGCGGGUCUCUGGGCAGUAACUGACGCUGAGGAGCGAAAGCGUGGGGAGCGAACAGG